GGUAUCCAUAAAAUUCUUUGAAUAAUUGAUUUCACGAGUUUAUGUAUCGUGUGAAUUUUACAAUUAUAUAUCGUAUAGUACUUAACUGAGCAAUCGAAAAUCAUAAAACUUAAAAAUCGAUCAAACAAAAUUUAGGAAGGGGAGUGAUAUUUAUAAAAAAGCAAACAGCAGAGUGUUACCCUGUGUUUAGGAAGUUGGGACUGGGGAGGAGGAAACUUACAAAUUAGGAAGGUAACUAAAUAAGUGGGAGUUGAAAUGUUUGGAGCUGUAGUGGACAUGGUCACGUGGGUACAAGGUACGAAAUAUUAGUGGCACUUAUCUUGUUUUGUUGGGUUGUAUAUUCUCUUCAGUUGCAUAAGUUGCAUGUGGCCUGAACUCCAUAAAUUUAGUUUCUACCGGAAAUUGUUAGCUACCAGACACUUUUGUUGGGUCCUCCUUCCUUGUGUUUCUCUUCUUUACAUGUAUAAUUUUUUUUUUUUUUUUUGACAGAAAUUCACUUGCUCGUAUCGAUAAUACGCCAGUACUCCGAGGAGUUUUUUUCAUUCAAAAAGCUUAUUAUCUAACCGAAAGACAUGAAAAUGUCUCGUACUCCGAGGAGUUUUUUUCAUUCAAAAAGCUUAUUAUCUAACCGAAAGACAUGAAAAUGUCUCCGGAAGUUUAGACAAUAAAACUUAAUGUCCGAAAUAAAAUGUCCCAAGCUCCAAAUCCACGCUACUUCCACCUCAUCCCUGAAACAAUACGAUUCAUUAAUAACAAAAAUUAAUAAAUUUAAUUAUUAUAAAAGAUAAAUAAAAUAAUUAGUCAAAAUAAGAUAAAAAAACAGAAAGUAUAUCUAACCAAAGGGAGACCCUUUGGCUAGAUACCAUUGGUUAGAUAUAUAUUACAAGCUAGAUAAAUACUAAGAAGAUAAUUAAUAAUAUAAGUAUUUAAAUAUAAUAAUAACUAAAAGUUUAAGAAAUAAAUUAAAUAUGAUAAUCAAGCCAACAAAAUGGCAUCAAAUUGCCGUAUAGAAGGCCAAAAUCUACGCCACCGAUCAUGGCCACCAAUAAAUGGUACAAAUAAAUUUCAUAAAUUCCCUAAUCAAGACUGCAAGUAAUUGUACACCAAUUAAUAAAUUGCAUUAAACUCUAAUCAAUGAUGAUUAAAACAUUUAGACCAAAUAUUUAUUAGCAAAACCAAGAGAAACAAAAUAAAUUCAAAAAAACAACAAUCAAGCAAGUCAACUAGCCAUAUAAUAUAACUGAAAAUUAAAUCAUCAUUUACUUCUAAUAAAGUCAAUUCAAUAAAAUUACAGUUGCAGGAAAUUACUAGUUUUACAAAACAAAACCUAAAAUCAUGCAAACAAAUUAAUCAAUAAUAUUCUAUUCAAAAUCACACUAAGUGAUAAAACCAUCUCAUCAUCAUGGACAAGGAAUCAUCAAAAUCUCGUCAUUGUCACUAAUCAUCAAAAACUUGUCAUUGUCACUAACACAAACCAUAUACAAACUCUUACCCCUACAAGCCUAAAACACAAAUUCUAAUAAACUUGUGACUCGAAAUAAAUUGUUAAAAUACAACAUACUAUGCACAUAAUAUAUUGACUAAAGCUCUCCAACUUUCACAUCUUUUAGAUAAAUCAACAAACAAAACUAAAUCAUUGUACACCACCUCCAAUAAUUGAUUAUCAUGCACAAAUAUAAAAUAAUAAGAAAAUCCGAGUUCUAACGAAACACUAUUAAAACAUACGAAAUUGUAUACACUAAUAAAACAAAAAUCACAUAAACAUAUAAACAUAUAAUUUAAGAAUUGGAUAGAGUACACCUUUUGAAUGUCGAAAUUUUGACAUGUAUAUGAGUCGAAUGAUAAAGGGACCACCAUUUCAUAGGUUAACAUCACCAUUCUCAUUAUUUGUCCAUCCGGUGCUGAAUCGUUGAACGGCCUCCACAUAUAACUAUUCUCCCUCGUUCACCACUUGAUCCGCGCGAUUUGUGUAGAUACAUAUGUUUCGUAUGGAAUAUGCUAAUCCAAGAUACAUAUUUGGAAUUUUAUUAAUACUAGCUGAUAUGGGUUAAUCAGAAUUAGGUUUGUUGUUGGUUAAUUGAUUGGAGUUGGGUUUUGAUGGAAAAAAGUGGAGGGCUGUUGGCCGGAACUCAUGUCGACAAGGCCGACGGAGUUUCGUGGCGGAUGCAAGGAAGGGGGGCCGGAGAAGAAAAGGGGGAGAGGAGAGAAAAGGAGGAGACAAUACUUUGGAUGGGGAUUAAAAUAAUCUUUACAUGUAUAAUUGUAUAUAUAUACUUUAUGCUUCUUCGUUCUUCUGCACCUCAGAAUAAUUCUUUAGCCAAAAAAAUACUACUCCUAAUUAGAAAGAUCAGAUUUUUGCCAUUGAAUUUAGCAAUUUAUCG
rnacentral:lncRNA from 1 species